rnacentral:rRNA from 1 species
UACGUAGGUGACAAGCGUUGUCCGGAUUUACUGGGCGUAAAGAGCGCGCAGGCGGUCGAUCAAGUCGAGUGUGAAAGCCCCCGGCUCAACUGGGGAGGGUCAUUCGAUACUGAUCGACUCGAAGGCAGGAGAGGGUAGUGGAAUUCCCGGUGUAGUGGUGAAAUGCGUAGAUAUCGGGAGGAACACCAGUGGCGAAGGCGACUACCUGGCCUGUUCUUGACGCUGAGGCGCGAAAGCCAGGGGAGCAAACGGG